UACGUAGGAGGCGAGCGUUGUCCGGAGUUACUGGGCGUAAAGGGUGCGCAGGCGGUUUUGUAAGCCAGAUGUGAAAUCCCCGGGCUUAACCUGGGAAUGGCAUUUGGGACUGCAAGGCUUGAGUUUGGCAGAGGAGACUGGAAUUCCUGGUGUAGCAGUGAAAUGCGUAGAUAUCAGGAGGAAUACCGAUGGCGAAGGCAGGUCUCUGGGCUAGAACUGACGCUCAUGCACGAAAGCGUGGGGAGCAAACAGG
rnacentral:rRNA from 1 species